CGUAGGUGGCGAGCGUUGUCCGGAUUUAUUGGGUUUAAAGGGUGCGUAGGCGGUCCUAUAAGUCAGUGCUGAAAUACUCCCGGCUUAACCGGGAGGGUGGCAUUGAUACUGCAGGACUUGAGUAAAGUUGAGGUUGGCGGAAUUGACGGUGUAGCGGUGAAAUGCUUAGAUAUCGUCAAGAACACCGAUAGUGUAGACAGCUAACUAAGCUUUAACUGACGCUGAGGCACGAAAGUGUGGGGAUCGAAACAGGAAUUAGAUACCCUGGUAGUCCACACUGUAAACGUUAGAUUACUACGAUGUUGGCGAUACACUGUCAGCGUCUUAGCGAAAGCGAUAAGUAAUUCCACCUGGGGAGUACGCCGGCAACGGUG
rnacentral:rRNA from 1 species